rnacentral:lncRNA from 1 species
GGGGACUCGGCCGCCAUGUUAGGAGUACUGGGACGAUUCCGCGGAGCCGGGCAGAGGUUUUAGGGGUGCGCGGGAGUCAAGUGGUGGUUCAGUGGGGACGGAAUGAUUAACAAAGGCGUCCGAAGAAAUCGUUGUUGGAAGGUGGCCAAAGUGGAAAGAGAGGUUGCUUUGGCCCUGCAAGUAAGAAGAGAGAAGGAAUAGCCUGAAGGAGUAACACUAAAUUUAAAAUGACACUUUUUUACCAACCAGCGAAAGCAGAUGUUCAAAGGGGAUAUUGGCCAGAGUCUGUCACACUAAGAUGAGAAAUAUCCUUUCUUCCUGAAGGUGUCUGAUGUGUAAAAAUACUGAUAUACUUUGUGCUGUUUCCUCCCUUCCCUUUUGCACAUUAUUCUGAAACAACAUUAACUAGUUACUUUGCGUCAUUGAAGGUUUGGAUAAUUAAGGGAGCACUAGAAAACUUUUGUUUUUUGUGUUUUUUUUGAGAUGGAGUCUGUUGCCCAGGCUGGAGUACAGUGGUACGAUCUCGACUCACUGCAAUCUCCGCUCCUGGGUUCAAGUGAUUUCUCUUGCCUCA